AAGUCAUGGUGCGGGCAUCUUCUCAAUAAUUUCCCGAAUCGCUCUCAUGCUUCGAACAAUGAUUCUGUUUCAUUCUGCUGGAAGCAACAUAUUUCUGUCAUCAACUU